CCUACGGGAGGCUGCAGUGAGGAAUAUUGGUCAAUGGACGAGAGUCUGAACCAGCCAAGUAGCGUGAAGGAUGACUGCCCUAUGGGUUGUAAACUUCUUUUAUAAAGGAAUAAAACGAGGCACGUGUGCCUUUUUGCAUGUACUUUAUGAAUAAGGAUCGGCUAACUCCGUGCCAGCAGCCGCGGUAAUACGGAGGAUCCGAGCGUUAUCCGGAUUUAUUGGGUUUAAAGGGAGCGUAGAUGGGUUGUUAAGUCAGUUGUGAAAGUUUGCGGCUCAAUCGUAAAAUUGCAAUUGAUACUGGCAGUCGUGAGUACAGUUGAGGUAGGCGGAAUUCGUGGUGUAGCGGUGAAAUGCUUAGAUAUCACGAAGAACCCCGAUUGCGAAGGCAGCUUACUAAACUGUGACUGACAUUGAUGCUCGAAAGUGUGGGUAUCAAACAGGAUUAGAUACCCGGGUAGUC
rnacentral:rRNA from 1 species